rnacentral:rRNA from 1 species
GAUGAACGCUGGCGGCGUGCCUAACACAUGCAAGUCGAACGAAGCACUCUGAUUUCUUCGGAAGGAUGAGUGACUGAGUGGCGGACGGGUGAGUAACGCGUGGGUAACCUGCCUCACACAGGGGGAUAACAGCUGGAAACGGCUGCUAAUACCGCAUAAGCGCACAGUACCGCAUGGUACAGUGUGAAAAGUUUUUUCGGUGUGAGAUGGACCCGCGUCUGAUUAGCUAGUUGGCGGGGUAACGGCCCACCAAGGCGACGAUCAGUAGCCGGCCUGAGAGGGUGGACGGCCACAUUGGGACUGAGACACGGCCCAA